AUCACCAUCAACCUUGUCACUCUCAAUUAAACUUCUUUUCCUCUUGGAAAAUGAAGUAGAGAAUUCCUCUAUAACCUCUUCUUUUAUCUACUUAGGAAAUAUUAAAUUCCUACCUACACCAUUACUAUUUGAAACACAUGCCAUUGCCUUCUCAUCAUCAUUGUCGCUAAUGAGAAGAACAAUUAAAGUCACACUCUACCGGGUAUCGUGUCUUAGUUAUUCUUGGUGGAAGUUCCAUUGCAUGUCUAAUAAAGUCAUCAACCCCUUCUACAAAAUCCUCCCACAAUCUAAAAUUCUAAUACAUAAACCAAAAUUUCAAUUCAUAUCCUAAAGGUUCAAUUCAUAUCCACAAAAGUUCGAGUCAUAUCCUAAAAUUUCAAUUUAUAAACUAAAAUUCCAAUGAAAACAAAAAUUCAAUUCAUAUCCUAAAGGUUCAACUCAUAUCCACAAAAGUUCAAGUCAUAUCUUAAAAUUUCAAUUUAUAAACUAAAAUUCCAAUACAUAAACCAAAAUUUCAAUUCAUAUCUUAAAGGUUCAACUCAUAUCCACAAAAGUUCAAGUCAUAUCCUAAAAUUUCAAUUUAUAAUCUAAAACUCCAAUACAUAAACCAAAAUUUCAAUCCAUAUCCUAAAGGUUCAAGUCAUAUCCACAAAAGUUCAAGUCAUAUCCUAAAAAUUUCAAGUCAUAUCCUAAAAUUUCAAUUUAUAAACUAAAAUUCCAAUAAAUAAACCAAAAUUUCAAUUCAUAUCCACAAAAGUUCAAGUCAUAUCCUAAAUUUCUAUUUAUAAACUAAAAUUCCAAUAUAUAAACCAAAAUUUCAAUUC
rnacentral:lncRNA from 1 species